rnacentral:rRNA from 1 species
GGAAUAUUGGACAAUGGGCGAAAGCCUGAUCCAGCAAUGCCGCGUGAGUGAUGAAGGCCUUCGGGUCGUAAAGCUCUGUCGCAGGGGAAUAACACAAUGAAUGUACCCUGCAAGAAAGGAUCGGCUAACUUCGUGCCAGCAGCCGCGGUAAGACGAGGGCUCCUAGCGUUGUUCGGAAUUAUUGGGCGUAAAGCGGGUGUAGGUGGCUUUGUAAGUCAGGUGUGAAAGCCCAGGGCUCAACCCUGGAAGUGCAUUUGAUACUGCGAAGCUUGAGUGUAGGAGAGGUUACUAGAAUUCUUGGUGUAGUGGUGAAAUACGUAGAUAUCAAGAGGAAUACCGGCGGCGAAGGCGGGUAACUGGCCUAACACUGACACUCAGACCCGAAAGCGUGGGGAUCAAAC